AAGACUAAGUAAUUUGCCCAAGGUUAUGCAGCUAAAAAGGGGACAAAUGAGGACCGGACAACAAGUCUCCUCUAGCGGAGCCCAAGGUCUCUGUUCCUUCCAAAAGCAAGGAGGAAAAAUAAGAUUCCAUAGUAAAUCUCAUGCCACAUCAUAAAUUCAGACAGAAGUUGGUUUUGGGCACAGACAGCAGAGAUCCCUGAAUGACCGUAUUCCAGGAGGUUGGGUUGGGGCAGGGAGUGCAUUAUUCUUGGGCCAGGCCAGGAGCAUACGCACACACAGACACACAGACACACACAUGCAUGUGCUCUUCCCCAUUGGAGCACCUUCUAGAAUGGCAAGAAACUUAUCUCGCCCAAUUACCUUGCCACCACCUUGAGCCACGAUGGUGCCUCGGUCCUUUGGGUUGUCACACAGUGCCAGGAAUACCCUGGAGGACAAGGAUAAAGGACAUUCAGUGCACGAGCCAACAGAUUAGACCCAGUGAAACCUUGGGAAGUGCCACCCCUGUGCGCUUGCCCCAAAACUAACCUUAGGAAGAUACUGCCAUGGACAUAAGUGGCUGGGGAGGACAUGAGGCCAGAUGCAGCUGCAAAGAGCUGCCCUAUUUCUGUUCAGGCUCAUAACAAAUGGCUUCCUGCUACCCGCCACCCAGGAGAAACUUCAACAUGGAGGCACCUCAGGACUUCUGUGCUCUGGCCCUUGCCUCCCUCUCUGUCUCAUCUAGCACCCCUCUCUCCCCAGGACUUCGUGCUCCAGGCAUAUUCCAGGAGAAUCCUGUCCUCAAUCGCUCAUUCUCCCUCCAUCCUCAGUGUCUUUGCAUACGCUGUUCUCUCUGCCUGGAACCCUUCCCUCCACUGCAUUUGAGGGGCUCCUUUUUGUUCAUCAGGGUUCCCCUGAGUUGUCACAUCUUCCAGGAGGCGUUCCAGACUGCCCACCCACCUACCCUCCAGUCUGGCCAGUUGGGUACCACGGCUUGUGCUCCAACCAGCCCUCUAUAUGUCCCUCCUCGUGGCACCCACUACACUUUAUUGUAACUGUGAGCCUGUCUGCCUCCACAUCGGGCUGCACAUCAGUGCCUUUCAUCUCGGGAACUGCAGGGCCUGGGAACCAGGCCAGCGCCGAGAUGACACCAGCCUUCAAAAGCCGCUUAACCCGCAUGUCUACAAAGUCCUUCUUGUCCUGGGGAGAUGAAAUGAUGGUAAGGAAAUCCAUCUCAAAGACUCUUCAUUCACAGAGGAGUGAAAUAGAAGGAGCAUCCAAAACACUAGAUCACUAGAUGACCCAUACGUGACUUAUCUUGCAGAAGGCUGGCUUUCCAUCAGGGUGAGCAUGCAGAGGGGAGAGAGGGGAGGUGGGCAGGAGUGAGAGGGGAGAGAGAGCGGACAGAGCUGACAUAACAAUGGAUUGGGUUUUGCUGGAAACCCAGAGUCUGCCCUGGAGUUAAAUAUUCCAUAUAGAUAAUCCUUAGAGUAGCUGGAGAGCUCAUGGGAAAUCUCUAGAAGCCAAGUUUGAACUUCACGGCAGCAGAACAUGCUAUACACACUCGCUUGCAUGAAAAACCAUGCAGCUUUAUAAACUGAUUUAGAGAAUGUUAUAGCAAGGGGGAAAACCCCUGGAGUAUUUUUCCCAAAUUGGGUACAAAAUGAUGACCACAUUCUGAUUAUAACUAUUAAAAGGAAAAAAUGCACAGAACAAAAGAGCUUCUGGUGGGUGAUAAACAAAAAGGCCGACAGUGGUCAGUGGGGAGAGGAUGUAAUUGCAGGCAGCCAUGUUCUUUCCCUAACUGUCCCCCUUUUUGUUUGUUUUGCAUCAUGAUUAUAUGAUUUUGAUCAUUUAAAAAAAACUAACUGCUUUACUGGCUAGAAGUGUGAUGCACAUAUAUUCACAUGCAAACCACACACAAAAUACAACUUUGUGUGCAGGGAAUCAUUGUGGGGAGGGCCGCAAGGGGAUUUGUGACAUCUGGGCUGCUGCUUAACCACAUCCUUCCUCUUCUCAUCAUUCGUACGCAGAUCCCCAAACCCGGAUAUCCCAGAAAAUGAAGUUUUUAUAAAUGUGGAAAACGUGAAAUACAACUGUCUGAUGUCCAUGAAAUCAACACGUAAAUUGCAAAACGUUCA